GACCAGGAGCUCCCAGGUGUUCCUUCAGUGGUGACAAGUUUGGAUUUCGUCUAACCAAACUUAAUUGUCAUACCAAGCUAAAUAAAAGCCCUUUUUUUAACCUAUUGGGUUUUUCCCCCAUGUAUGUUCACAGGACUUGAGGGGAAGGGAUUGUUGUUAAAUCAUUCACUUUAUGACUAAAUUUUGCAAUGAGUAAAAUCUUAAAUGUGCAUAUAUCGCCACCAAGUGGGAUAGAAUAGCAUUGCUUGUCAGCUAAAAGAUGCCAAAAGAAAAGAAAGUAAAAAGGAGACAUUGUUUGAUAAGACAGUUAAAAGUUUGACCGCUGUUAAAAGUCAGUUUCAAACACAGAAAUGCAUUUUAAUUGUUGUUUGUUUAAUUAUAAUAUGCACUUUUAUUCCAUAGACUAUUGGAAAGUCUGUUUUUAUUGUAUUCUUAAAAAACUUUCAAGGUAGAAUCUUGAUCAGUGGGUUUUUUGUUUCGUCAGACUAUAUCCCUAGCCUUGUUUAUGUUGUUCUGGAACUCACUGAAUAGACUAGGCUGGCCUCAAACUCACAGAGAUCUGCCUACCUUGCCUGUGAGUGCUAGGUUUAAAGGCAUGUACCCCUAAUGCCUGGUUUCGAUCAGAGAUGUUUGUUUGUUUGUGGUGUGUGUGUAUGUGUAUGUGUUUUCAAGACAGGGUUUCUCUGUGUAGCCCUGUAUCCCUGGCUGUCCUGGAACUCGGUCUGUAGACCAGACUGGCUUCAAACUCAGAAAUCUGCCUGCCUCUGCCUGGGAUUGAAGUGCUGGGAUUGAAGGUUUAUACCACCAUUGCCGGGUUCCAUCAGAGUUUUAUAUAGAUACCUUUUAGUCUGACUAAAAUUAGUCAAUUUUAUGCUGUUAAUUUUCUGUGAUUUUUUUUUAUCACAUUUCUAUAAAUAUUCCAAAUAUUCAUUCCUUUAUCAUUUCUGUGUGCAUAUAGCCUUCAGAUAUGAAAUAAAAGUACUUUGUAAUAAUGUAUUAAUCAUUACUAAUAUCAAAUCAUUCAGAUUUGAUAAUACCAAUUCACCAAGGAGUUUUAAUAAUUCAGUGUCCAAUAAAAUACUAACGUGGGAUGAAGUUCCUGAGAGUGUAUUAGCCUAGGUACUUGAGAUGUGUCUUGCUAUGCAUUUGGUAGCCUCUGCCAUUAAAAGCCUGAAAGAUCCCUGGCAUAGAAGUAAACUAAACCAAUUACAAAAUAUGCCCAGCCAGUAUAAGCAUCUCUACAAACUUGGAGUGACAUGGUCCUGGGACCAGUACCUGGGCCAUGACCUUGAUAUCCUUGUUCCCAAGUGUGAACAUGCAAGCUUGAAAAGCUCCUCUUGUUUUGUGUUGCUUAAUUAAGUAUUACAGAAACACCCAGAGGCUUCCUACUCUAUACUCCACACUCUCCUCUCUAGGACACACUUGGGCUACUCAACCUUUUUGCCCCCAACUUCCUCUCCAUGGUUGAUCCCCUUCUAACCAGCCACGGCUUCUAUAUGCUUUGUCUUCCUUUAUUUUAAAUGCUGCAAAGUUUUCCCUGGCUGCCUCAGACAGUCCAUAUUUUAGUCACCCUAACCUGGCUUUAUUUUGUAAGUACUUCCUACUAGCUAACAGAGUCUCUAUAUUAACUUCAUACCCAUCCUUUCCCCACCUCCACCCCCACCCCCUCCUAUUAGAGUGUAAGUUCCAUGAGGAGAGUGACUUUGUUUGAUUUUGUUGUUUUUAUACCUGGGGAUAUAUUAAGUAUUUGAAGAACUAAUAAAUACUAAAUAAUCCCAGCUCACUUCUUAUACUGUUUGGUUUAUAGUAGGAUUAGCACCUGACCAGGGUUGUGAAAAGAAAGUGCCAGUACAUUUGGAGGCUGUUAAGUAAAUGCUAUUCUUGGUUUACCUCCUCAUAGACCUGAGACUUUAUGCACAGGUGCAUAUUUUAUUUGUUCACUUGUGUAUCUAUCUAUCUAUCUAUCUAUCUAUCUAUCUAUCUAUCUAUCUAUCUAUCUAUCUAUCAUCUAUCUAUCAUCUAUCUAUCUAUCUAUCUCGACCUCUAUAUAGUUCUGACUAUCCUGGAACUCACUGUGUAGACCAGACUGGCCUCAAAUUCACAGAGAUCCGCCUGCCUCUGCAUUCAAAGUACUGGGAUUAAAGGUGUGUACCACUAUGCUCAGCAAUACAAUUUACUUUUCUUAGUCUGAGUUUCAGGUAAACUUGAUUCCCAGUGUCAAUUGACUAGAAGAUGUCACUGGCCAGUAGGAGGCCUGUGUUUGUAGCUCAGCAGUGUUAGUACAGAGCCACGUGCUUGGUCAUCUUUCCCUGUUGCUUUCUUAUGAUUGGAACUUGGCACAGGUAGUUGAUUAUUGUUACAGUGAGGCUGUUUUGCUUAUAGCAGGAUUAUCAGAAUCAAGAAACACUUUUCUGUAUUCGUAACUAUACAAAAAGUAGGAAUCACCAUGAGGGCCUUUUGUUUUAAGAAAGAGGGGAAGGAAGGUAGUUCUUUGUGUAAGAUACUCCUACAUGUUAACUACAGACCUACCUAGUUCAUCAUUUAUACUGCUUGCCUGGUUACUAGUCAUUUGAGUUUUCAGGCCUCUUUACAAAGGGACAGGACACACAUUUUAAGGUAUGUACAUAUCGGUGGCUAUCAUUAGGCAAAGGUACAUUAUAUAUCAUUGGGGAAGUACAUUCUGCUCUACAGUUAGAGAUAAAUUCAUAAUUUGAUUGUUAGGUUUUGACAGAGUCAUUGUAUGUGGAGAGAACUUGGGAGGAUGCUUUUUGGCAUACAGAAGAGCAAAUCUUUUAGUAAUCAUGAGCAGAAACAAUACAGUGUAGUUUUCUUUCAGUCCAAGAUGUUUCUCAGUCCUGAAACCCGGUGUUCAGGAGCUAAGGUACAUAGACAUGGACUCUGUAGAACUCAGAUCAAGCAUCUGUUUUGUCGUCUUCCUUAGUUGCCUUACUUGGGGUGUUACUUUAAUGCUAGUAAUCCAGGUAAAUUACCAAAUAAAGUUAGAUGUAAUAUAACAAGAGUAGCAUUAAAAUUGAUGAUGCUGCUGUCUUGGCUAGGACUUAGUAAUCACAGAUUCUGUAGUGAUUUAUUAUAUCUGUGUCUUGUUUGCCAAAUUCCAGUAGAGUAGUUCAGAGCCUUGAGCUAUGAGAAUUCACAGUUCUGCUUAAAGCAGGACCAAUCUAACUGAUGGUAUAAGUAAGUCCUCAGAUUGUAUUAGAACAGAUAAGAAAGUCUUUAUAUCAGUCCUUUUGACUUGACAGUUUGCUUUAUAAAUGACCAAAGUGCUAUGUUAGGGACCAAUUUAGUACAUUGAAGUAUGACUUUGAAUUCAUAUUUUAAAAGAUGAAAUAUGAUCUUGAAUUUAAUUUUUUUCUGCCACUUUUUUUCCCCAGAUUUUUUUGCCCUCCUCCUUGUGUGUAUCUUAUGGGCAGUGGUU
rnacentral:lncRNA from 1 species